GUGAGGAAUAUUGCACAAUGGGCGCAAGCCUGAUGCAGCGACGCCGCGUGAGUGAAGAAGGCCUUCGGGUCGUAAAGCUCUUUUCUGCGUGACGAGCAAGGACGGUAGCGCAGGAAUAAGUCUCGGCUAACUACGUGCCAGCAGCCGCGGUAAAACGUAGGAGACAAACGUUAUCCGGAGUUACUGGGCGUAAAGGGCGUGUAGGCGGUUAGUUAAGUCUGGCGUGAAAGCUCUCGGCUAAACCGGGAGAGGUCGUUGGAUACUGGCUGACUAGAGGACGGUAGAGGCGUGUGGAAUUCCGGGUGUAGUGGUGAAAUGCGUAGAGAUCCGGAGGAACACCAGUGGCGAAGGCGACACGCUGGGCCGUACCUGACGCUAAAGCGCGACAGCAUGGGGAGCAAACGGGAUUAGAAACCCGAGUAGUCC
rnacentral:rRNA from 1 species